UGGGCUGGGUGUGAAAUGGGAGCCCGGCUCUGCCCCCAGCCUCUGCCACUGCCCCUUUGCUGGGCGGGGCUGGGGCAGGGGCAGCCAGCCUGCCAAAAACAAACCCCCGUGGGGGGAGCAAAGGUGGGGCUGCAGAACACCAGCUGCUUUGGGCUGCAGGCCGGGAAAGGCUUGGGCUGCCUUGGCUUAGGAGCCUUUCUUUGGGGCAAUGCAGCAGGGCAGGGAGAAGGCCUGGGUUUUCCUUACCUGGAGGAGGAGCUUUCCUUUGGUGUGGAGGGGUUGGGCCUUCCUCAGAACCCUGACACAAUGUUAACAUUUUACCUUUUUGUCUUGUUUCCACUUUUUGUUUGUAAUCUCUUGUCAUGAAUUUGUUGUUUGUUUUUGAGGGAAGAGUUGGAGCUGGUGCCCAGUCUGGAUUGGGAAGGGCUGGGACCAUCCCUGGAGAGGAUCUGACGUCCCCUCUGAGAAGGCUGAGGACAUCCUUUGGGACACGCUCUUCUUCCAGCAGCAGAUCUUGUGAGACAGGACACCUCUGCCUGAUCUCCCACGGAUCCAAGGGAUCUCUGGAUCUUCAACCAGCACCAGGAUUUUGCUGGAGAAGAGCACAGAUCCCCAGCCCAGUCUGGGACACAGAACCCUGUGAAAUGGCAGAAGGAUUGUGGUGUGAAUGCAGCGCCCUCAGAGCCCUUGGUGUGAGCCCGGAAAGGAAAAUCAAGGGAAAUGGUUAAAGCCUUGUUGUUCCAUGUGGAGCACAGGAGAACUUUGUUCUCAUCGUCUCCCCGAUAAGGAGGAGGACUCAGAUCUUCUGGUUGGCCCCACGGGCAGGUUGAGUGGGGGAACAGAAAAUCAAGAUGCAGAAACCAAUCUUGCAGGGGAACUGGCAUGUGAAGAGGCAGAUUUAGCAUGUCCAGAAGAAAAGGUAGAGAGAAUGUGUCAGAGAGAGAGCAGAGAGCUUCAGUACAGCUGCAGGAAGAACUAGAGCUAAACAAGGAGGGAUGGGAGUGGCCCCCCUGUGUGAUAGAACUCAGACUAGAUGGCAAAAGCAUCCACCUGCAGUGGAUAUUAUCUGGAAUGAAACAUGCCAGGCCAAAGGCAAUGAACACGUCAAAAUUCUUUACAAUGAAGCAGGUUCACAGGGAAGAGCCUACUGACUGGAAGAAACAGCACAAAAAUAUAUGAAUAUCCAUCCUGAAACACAGGGGGGAAGGACUCAACUGGCCCCCAUAUUUGUGGGGCACUCCUCAGAUGUGGUUAGGAGGAAAUGACAAAAAGCUGAGGGACAAGAUCAAGAUCAUUUCAGGACAUUGUUGGAGGUUGGGAGAAUCAGCAGGAAUCAACUCAGCAGAAAGAAGUUUCAGUUAUGGAAGAAAUCCCUGAGGAAAUGGUGCCCCUGGGGAGAGGAAGAAGAUGAGAACAUGGGCAGCCUGCUUCAAACAUCCCCCCCAGGAGACUUGGUAUCAAUCCAUGUGCAUCCUGUAAGAAAGAUGGACACUGGAAAUGGGAUUGUCCACAACUGAAACUUCAGAACCCUCCGAACCCUCUCCUGGCAUCACUGAAGACGACUGAGGGGGCACCAGAGGAUUCUUCCCCAUCAGAACAUCUGGUUCCAGCCAAGCUAAGUACAAUUGGUUGUGGCUGUGGGAACUUGUUCCCCUGUCUUAAAUAAGGGAAAAUGAAACUCAAGUCACAAUUCUGGAACAAUUGUCUGGUGUGACAGGGAAUUGGGAAACUGGGCCAUUUUUAAUGCUGUGGAUUUAAAACUGGGAAAACAGUGGUUGGCUCCCCAGUAUGUCCCCAAUUCCCCAAAGCCUCUGCCUGGGAGAGAUCUCUUGGAAAAAUUAAAUGCCACAAUCCAAUUUAAAAAUGAUAAAAUAUAAGUUAUUAUUGCAGAGCCUAAUUCUGUGGAAGAUUCUAGUUUUGCAUGAGUCUCCAAAAGCGGAACUAAUCCAUCUGCCAACGUCACUUGGGGAUGCAGUGAUUCCAAUAGGAUGGGCUGGAGAGGUGCCUCCAUGAUCCAAAAGAGCAGAACUUGUGAGAAUUCCAGUGAAACCUGGAGUGGGGUUGGUCAGGCCAAAGCAAUAGCCUUUGAAAAUGGAAAGUUGUGAGGGAUUCUCACUCUCUGUAGAAAAACUGAUGAAAUUUUGCUUGUUAAAAGAAUGUGAAUCUAAAUGUAAUGCUCCAAUUUUGCCAGUCAAGCAGGCAAAUGGAAGGCUAUCCCAGUUAGUCCAAGACCUCAGAGCUAUAAAUAAUUGAGUAGAAGAUAUACAAGCAGUUGUAGCGAAUCCGUACACUUUGCUAACUCCCUUAAAUGAAAGUUUAAUAUGUUUCAC